rnacentral:rRNA from 1 species
UACAGAGGGUGCGAACGUUGCUCGGAAUUACUGGGCGUAAAGCGCAUGUAGGCGGAUCCAUAAGUCGGGCGUGAAAUCCCCAGGCUCAACCUGGGAACUGCGCUCGAAACUAUGGGUCUUGAGUGUCGGAGAGGAUGGCGGAAUUCCUGGUGUAGAGGUGAAAUUCGUAGAUAUCAGGAGGAACACCGGUGGCGAAGGCGGCCAUCUGGACGACAACUGACGCUGAGAUGCGAAAGCGUGGGGAGCAAACAGG